rnacentral:rRNA from 1 species
UAAUGUAUGGGGAUCUGCCCGAUAGAGGGGGAUAACUACUGGAAACGGUGGCUAAUACCACAUAAUGUCUACGGACCAAAGCAGGGGCUCUUCGGACCUUGCACUAUCGGAUGAACCCAUGUGGGAUUAGCUAGUAGGUGGGGUAAAGGCUCACCUAGGCGACGAUCUCUAGCUGGUCUGAGAGGAUGAUCAGCCACACUGGGACUGAGACACGGCCCAG